rnacentral:rRNA from 1 species
AGCUACAAGGUUUCCGUAGGUGAACCUGCGGAAGGAUCAUUA